GCGAGACGCCUCAGGCACAUAGGCUGGCUUCCUCCGCCGCAGGCUCUGCCGUAACUUGUUCAUGGUGCCUGCCCCGUCUACGUGGGGCAGCAGUAUGGGUCAAGGAAGGAGGCAACUGUGUCAAGAUGAGGCAAGGCCUCUGGGGUGGUAUGUGCCUGCAACAGCCAGAGUUGCAGGAGGAGGGUGAGGAGACACCCAGGACUGGAAACACCAACGGCAGGCAGACGGGGACUCUGUAUGCAUAUGACUGCAAGUGGAUGAUGGUAUAUCUGGAAUGGCAUCCAUGAGGGUGUCUGUAUCUGCGCAGGCAGCCACGACUGUGUGUGUCCACACUGUACAGAAGGCUGUACGGAAGCAUCCAUGUCUGCGGGUGGAUGUUUUAUAAAUGUGUAUGUCUGUCUGUGAAUACCGUCUGUGAGGGGUUCUGUAUCCAAUGGUUGGUUCUAUUGUCCUUGAUGACUGUAGCUUCUGAAUACGGAUGUGUGAUGAUUAUUCACAAGACUGUGCCAUUUCUAAGAGGACAGCGGUUGUU